rnacentral:rRNA from 1 species
GACGAACGCUGGCGGCGUGCUUAACACAUGCAAGUCGAACGGUGAAGCGCCUUCCUUUUUGGUGGGUGUGGAUGAGUGGCGAACGGGUGAGUAACACGUGAGUAACCUGCCCCCUUCUUCUGGAUAACCGCAUGAAAGUGUGGCUAAUACGGGAUAUUCUGGGUCUGUCGCAUGAUGGGUCUGGGAAAGAUAUUGUUUCGGUGGGUGAUGGGCUCGCGGCCUAUCAGCUUGUUGGUGGGGUGAUGGCCUACCAAGGCGGUGACGGGUAGCCGGCCUGAGAGGGUGGACGGUCAAAGUGGGACUGAGACACGGCAAAGACUCCGACGGGAGGCAGCAGUGGGGAAUAUUGCACAAUGGGCGCAAGCCUGAUGCAGCGACGCCGCGUGAGGGAUGGAGGCCUUCGGGUUGUGAACCUCUUUCGCCAGUGAAGCAGGCCUGCCUCGUUUGUGGGUGGGUUGACGGUAGCUGGAUAAGAAGCGCCGGCUAACUACGUG